UACGGAGGGUGCGAGCGUUGUCCGGAAUCAUUGGGCGUAAAGGGCGCGUAGGUGGCCCGGUCAGUCUUGGUGAAAGCGCGGGGCUCAACCCUGCGUCGGCCAGGGAUACUGCCGCGGCUCGAGCACUGUAGAGGCAGGCGGAAUUCCGGGUGUAGCGGUGGAAUGCGUAGAGAUCCGGAAGAACACCGGUGCGAAGGCGGCCUGCUGGGCAGUUGGCUGGACACUGAGGCGCGACAGCGUGGGGAGCAAACAGGG
rnacentral:rRNA from 1 species